CUCUCUCUCUCUCUCUCUCUCUCUCUCUCUCUCUCUCUUGAUCUCUCCUCCUCUCUGAUCUCUCCUCUCUCUCUUUUUUUUUUUGAACAACCUCCUCCUCCUCUCUCUCUCGUGAUCAUUUUAAGCUAGUAGCUACGAUUCUAUCGAAAAAGAUAUCGAUCAGUCUCUUCCGUUUUUCCCCUUCUCCGCAAACCCCAGUGAAGACACUGAAGUUUGAUUUCACUCUUCAAUCUUGAUCUGCUGGCAUAUACUACGAGGAGGCUUUGGCUGCUUUAAUCGCUUCACCAUUGAAAGAUCAUUUUGAGAAAGGCUGGAUUUCUCAUGUGCAUAUGAAAGCAGCACUGUUGUACAGUGAAGCUUGUUACAGGUAUGGAAUGGAGUUGCACGAGAAAGAGGAGAUUGCAGAAGAGAUAGCUCGGUUGAGGAGCGGAGCUAGUCGUUUGGCAGAAGCUAAGAAGUCUUCAAGGGGAGCUCCUGCACAGCUAGUUGAAGCGAUGAACAAGUUAGAGGCGAGCAUUAACUGCAAUUUGGAGAGAGCUGUCAAGGAAAAUGACAGAGUGUAUCUCAUGAGACCCUUCUCCUGCUUCUUUGUCUCCACUUCCUACAUUGCUGUGGAUGGUAAUUAAUCUCUUCCUGCUGAUCUUAAAGACGAUGUAGAGGCUGUUCAGAUCAGUGGCAGUCCAGCUGGCUUGGAUGCUGAACUUCAGCAGAUUAGAGAUUAAAGAGGGUUAAUCAGGAACUGUUGCUGCAAACCGAAGAGCCAAUUUGAAACAAGCUGGACAAAGUGAUCUAAAUUGUUUAUGUUCUUCUUUUUAUAGACCACUGCCACAGCAGAGAACUGAGAACCAACAUAAAAAGUCCCACCAAUAUUCAUCACUUUUCCAAAAAUCUCUUAACAAUGUCCUUAGUUACCAAUUAAUAAUAAACUAAUAUAAGGACUCUUAGAAAAGUCCCAUUGAUAAUCAUGCUCUGAGAUCGAGGAAGAAAAGAGAAAGAUAUAUCGACGAAAGUAGAGGAGAUUUCCUGGAUAUCUUUAACGAUUCCGAAGAUCUCUUUGGCCUACAUGUCAUUGUUGAUAGCUCUUAUGAGCGUUUGGUUGUCAGAGAGGAUCUUAAUCUUUGUGAGAUUAAGAUUCGCUGCAGCGAUGAUUCCAAGUCGUAGAACCAGUGCUUCUGCGAUGAUUGGUGAGGCGACGUACUCUUGAGUGGUGGCGCCUUGCUUGAUGAUGGUGUCUGUAGGGUUCGAUAUGAUCCAAGCUAGUCCCGCCUUGUUCGAUGUCUUCUCCCAUGCCGCGUCUGUUCGACAGAUCGGAAUCCGCGAGUCGGCUUGAUGUGGGUUCUUGUCCAAACGUUUUGCAGCUACUUCCUCAAUGGUGAGUUGACGAUUUUCAAAGAUCAGGGCGUUUCUGGCAGUCCAUAGGGUCCAGCAAAUCCACGGGAGGAUGAUUCCUAUUAUACCUGAGGGUGGUAGACAGACAGCAGUUCUGAAGGCGGUUACGGCUUCUUUGAAACUCAUUGAUGUAGCUAUGUGAACUACAUUUGCCAAAGGUUUUCACCUAGAGGCAGGGCUCUUUGGAGGAUGGACCAGAGGAAGACUUUCAUCUUUGGAAAGCAGUGACUUGCCCAUACCUCUCGGAUCCAGUCGAAAGUAUCUGGCUCGUGGGAUGCUUUUUACUCAGGAUAUUAGUGUGUUUAGCAUCUAUAUGCUCGUCAUAUUUGUUAGAUAUUAAAUACUUUCCCAACAUAUACUAAAUAAUCAAAUACUGUCA